ACCUGGCUAGCUCAGUCGGUGGAGCAUGAGACUCUUAUUCUCAAGGUUGUGGGUUCGGGCCUCACAUUGGGUG
rnacentral:tRNA from 1 species